rnacentral:rRNA from 1 species
AACGAACGCUGGCGGCAGGCCUAACACAUGCAAGUCGAGCGCACCGCAAGUGCAGUGGCGGGCGGGUGAGUAGCGCGUGGGUACGUACCCUUUGCUACGGACUAGCCUCGGGAAACUGGUAGCAGUACCGUACUUGUCCUACGGGAGACAGAUGUAUCGGCAAGGUAUUGGCUCGUGUUGGAUUAGUUGGUUGGUGGGGUAAUGGCCUACCAAGCGGGCGAUCCGUAGCUGGGAUGAGAGGAUGAUCCGCCACACUGGGGCUGAGACACGGCCUGGACUUCUGCGGAAGGCAGCAGUGCUGAACCUUAGACAAUGGGGGCGAGCCUGAUCUAGCCAGGCCGCGUAAGCGAUUAAUGCGUUAAGGAUGGGAAGCACUUUCAGAGGGGAAGAUAGUGACGGUACCUCCAGAAGAAGCCCCGGCUAACUCCGUG